UCAGACUGAAGUUGCAUUGCAAAAUAUCAGAUAUCGGAUUUAGGACCACAUAUGAAAGUGGCCUGGGUCGGAUUUGAAAAAAUCGGAUUUAUGCUGUUCAAACUGUCUCUAACAGAUCGGAUGCAGGUCACAUACGGGCAAAAAAAUUGGAUUUGGUCCACAUUUGCCUGCAGUCUAAAAGUAGUCUUAGAACAGCUGU